rnacentral:misc_RNA from 1 species
GUAGGUGAACCUGCGGAUGGGCCAUUAAAAAUGAAGCCGGGAAACCGGUCCUUCUAACCCUUGAUUAUCAUAAUUUGUUGCUUUGGUGGGCCGCGCAAGCACUGGCUCCGGCUGGUUAGUGCCCACCAGAGAACCACAACUCUGUAAUAAAUGUCGUCUGAGUACUAUAUAAUAGUUAAAACUUUCAACAACGGAUCUCUUGGUUCUG